rnacentral:ribozyme from 1 species
AAAAACAAAAGUUUGAAAAAAUACGUCUGUCUGUCGAAAUGUUGGUUUUUUUAAUUUUUUAUGUCUUAUUUUGCA